GGGGAUGCAGGGUUUCGACAGGGACUCGAGGCUUUCUCUGCAGGUCGAGGAUGCCGAAGCCUCGUAAAUCAUGCGGCAAAAACUGACUGGCGAACAGGAACUCGCUCUCGCCGCCUAAGCUUUAGGCGCGACGUCCGUUCCGGGUAGGCCCCGGCGUCUGGAAACGGGCGACAUUUAGCCGGGAGGACGCCGGCCCCGACGCCCGUUAGGGCCGGAAGAGAACUCUCCGGGCUGGCUGGCUGUACCGUUGUCCGUUUUAGUGACAGCCGGCGAGACAGAUAAAACGGUCUAAACCUGUAGACGGGAUCAGUCGGAAGUUCCUGGACGGGGCGUUCAACUCGCCCCCAUCUCCACCA
rnacentral:tmRNA from 1 species